rnacentral:tRNA from 1 species
GGAGACGGGCCGGAAAGCCGCUCCCGGACGGCGACUCGAUUCCGGGAUGCGCGGGUUCGAUUCCCGCCGCCUCCACCA